rnacentral:rRNA from 1 species
ACNANNGCUGGCGGCGUGCCUAAUACAUGCAAGUCGAGCGCAGGAAGUCAUCCGAACCCUUCGGGGGGACGUUGGCGGAAUGAGCGGCGGACGGGUGAGUAACACGUAAAGAACCUGCCCUCAGGUCUGGGAUAACCACGAGAAAUCGGGGCUAAUACCGGAUGGGUCAUCGGACCGCAUGGUCCGAGGAUGAAAGACGCUCCGGCGUCGCCUGGGGAUGGCUUUGCGGUGCAUUAGCUAGUUGGUGGGGUAAUGGCCCACCAAGGCGACGAUGCAUAGCCGACCUGAGAGGGUGAUCGGCCACACUGGGACUGAGACACGGCCCAGACUCCUACGGGAGGCAGCAGUAGGGAAUCUUCCACAAUGGACGAAAGUCUGAUGGAGCAACGCCGCGUGAACGAUGAAGGCCCUCGGGUCGUAAAGUUCUGUUGUAAGGGAAGAACAAGUGCCGCAGGCAAUGGCGGCACCUUGACGGUACCUUGCGAGAAAGCCACGGCUAACUACGUGCCAGCAGCCGCGGUAAUACGUAGGUGGCAAGCGUUGUCCGGAAUUAUUGGGCGUAAAGCGCGCGCAGGCGGCCUCUUAAGUCUGAUGUGAAAGCCCCCGGCUCAACCGGGGAGGGCCAUUGGAAACUGGGAGGCUUGAGUAUAGGAGAGAAGAGUGGAAUUCCACGUGUAGCGGUGAAAUGCGUAGAGAUGUGGAGGAACACCAGUGGCGAANGCGACUCUUUG